UAAAUCUGUAUAAGUUUCUUCUUUGCUUCACUUUCUUCUCAGAAAGUUCAGCUUACCAUCAUCGUCUUCACCUCAGACGCCUUCUGCAGUGACAGCCAUGGUUCGCAGUGCAACUCUGAGUGUGUUCCUGCUCUGUUCCCUCUCUCUCUGUCUCAGAGGAACUGAAGCUCAACAUGUGGAUCAGAACACUUUACUUCACAUCAUCCGUCUCAUUGAGCAAUACAGUCCUGGUCCUAACAAGCAUAGCCAUCAACAUUCCACCUGAAAAGUGUGGUGCAGGGUUCCAACCUGAUGACACCUUCCUCGCAGGUGAUAAACCAGCUGAAGUGAAAUGUCACUUUAGCAAGAGAGAAAUAUAUCAAAGCGCGACGAUGAUUGGAGCUGUGCCAAAUAAAAAGCACCACUCUGAGUUCUGGCUGCUAAACCCAAAAAAACCAGAUGUCUCCCCCAUGAAGAAUCUCCUGAACAAAAGGAAAGAUGGCUGUGUGAUCUUCUACACGUACAACUCCCCCUGCCUCGGUACCUGUUUAAACGCUACAAAUACAGGCCGCAACAUUCUCACUGCCCUUGACAUGUUCACACAUCAUGAUGGCCCAAAAGCUUUUGUUUACAGUCAGGUUUUUGGCACUGAGGAUGCAGAACAGUAUCGGGAUGACUUCACAAAAGUAAAUGCAAAAAUUCGACUUUAUCGCUGUACUAACGAAACUGGGUGUCAUGCUUGCUUUAACGGUGGGACAUUUAAUCAGCCCUGUUUAAACAAUGGAACCCAUGAGACUGGAUUGGUCUGAUUGGUCUCCACAUGAAAGUGCACAGCACUGAUCAUUUCUAUUAAAUAAGCAUGAAUCAUUUCUCCGUUCUUGCUGCUUUAAACCAGUGUUUAUAUUUUUAUGGUGCUCAAAUGUCUUCAGGAUGAUGAACGUAUGUUUUCAAUAAAACUUUUGGCAAUCAGAAAAGAAUAGAUUUUGGUGCAGUGUGUAUCUGUGUAUCAGUUCUAUCAUUAAAAAAAUGCAAGUGUAAUGGAAAA